rnacentral:rRNA from 1 species
GAUGAACGCUGGCGGCGUGCCUAACACAUGCAAGUCGAGCGAUUCUCUUCGGAGAAGAGCGGCGGACGGGUGAGUAACGCGUGGGUAACCUGCCUCAUACACAUGGAUAACAUACCGAAAGGUAUGCUAAUACAAGAUAAUAUAAGAGAUUCGCAUGGGUCUCUUAUCAAAGCUCCGGCGGUAUGAGAUGACCCGCGUCUGAUUAGCUAGUUGGUAAGGUAACGGCUUACCAAGGCGACGAUCAGUAGCCGACCUGAGAGGGUGAUCGGCCACAUUGGAACUGAGACACGGUCCAAACUCCUACGGGAGGCAGCAGUGGGGAAUAUUGCACAAUGGGCGAAAGCCUGAUGCAGCAACGCCGCGUGAGCGAUGAAGGCCUUCGGGUCGUAAAGCUCUGUCCUCAAGGAAGAUAAUGACGGUACUUGAGGAGGAAGCCCCGGCUAACUACGUGCCAGCAGCCGCGGUAAUAC